CAGUCGCCACGGUAAUACGAAGGGUGCAAGCGUUAAUCGGAAUUACUGGGCGUAAAGCGUGCGUAGGCGGAUUUUUAAGUCAGGGGUGAAAUCCCGAGGCUCAACCUCGGAACUGCCUUUGAUACUGGAGAUCUUGAGUUCGGAAGAGGUUGGUGGAACAGCUAGUGUAGAGGUGAAAUUCGUAGAUAUUAGCUAGAACACCAGUGGCGAAGGCGGCCAACUGGUCCGAUACUGACGCUGAGGUGCGAAAGCGUGGGGAGCAAACAGGAUUAGAUACCCGUGUAGUCCCUGUCUCUUAUAC
rnacentral:rRNA from 1 species